rnacentral:rRNA from 1 species
AGCAACGCCGCGUGAACGAUGAAGGCCUUUGGGUGCGUAAAGUUCUGUUCUAGGUGAUGAAAACUGACAGUAACCUAGGAGAAAGCCCCGGCUAACUCCGUGCCAGCAGCCGCGGUAAUACGGAGGGGGCAAGCGUUAUCCGGAAUUAUUGGGCGUAAAGGGUACGUAGUGGCUUUUAAGCGUAGGGUAUAAGGCAAUGGCUCAACCAUUGUUCGCCCUAUGAACUGGAAGGCUUGAGUGCAGGAGAGAAAGCGGAAUUCCUAGUGUAGCGGUGGAAUGCAUAGAUAUUAGGAGGAACAUCAGCGGCGAAGGCGGCUUUCUGGACUGCAACUGACACUGAGGUACGAAAGCGUGGGGAGCAACAGGAUUGGAUACCCUGGUAGUCCACGCGUAACGAUGAGCACUAGUGUCGGGUCGUAAGCUCGGUGCGUAGUACGCAUAAGUGCUCGCCUGGGAUACGCACGCAGUGUGAACUCAAGAUGACGGGACCGCACAGC